GAUUCUUCACUUACAAAUUGUUGUAUGAAGAAAUGAGAGUUGCCUUGAACAACUCUUGAAAGUUUGUAAUUAUAUUUAGAACAUAAUGGUUGGUUGACAAAAAUAGUCCAUCAACAUGGACUUAUGAUGAUUUUGAAUCAUUGAGUGUUGAAGUGUUAAACCACUUCUAGAGACGGAAACUAGGCAAGGACUUCACCUUUGUGUCCCUAUCCAAAUGGUUCACUAGGUUUAUUGUAAACUAUAUAGUGAACAAUAACCACACGCUCUCCAAAUCGUUUGAUGUGUAUAACACAAUCGAAAUAAGUUUCAAGAGAGAUAGUGGGAGUUUAGGGACCAUGACUAUUGUAGUUAAAGGAGAAGUCAAAUGAAGAAGGGGAAAUAACUCCAAGGGAACAAACUUUCUUUAUGAAAAGAUGGAGAUUGGAUGGGGUAUUUGCAAGAAAUGUCUUGCAACUGUCAAGAACACACCUUUCAAAGGUGUUGUAAAUUGUUCUUGAAAAGUUCAACACAGUUGGUUCUUCUACUUGAAUGCUUGAUUCCGUAUUACUAACUAUGUUUUACAAUCGUUGUAAAAGUGUGGCUAAUAAGAAGUAGAAGAUUAAUGAGAGAAGAGAAAGUACUUCACAUUCGGAACGUGAAUCAAAUGUAGAUCUCUGUAAAAGCAGAUCGUACUUACUUCCUCAUAUGAACUACCAAAGAAAUUGGAAAAACCAAAGAUUGUCUUUACAUUCCAAUUUAAGGAACUUAAUUCCGUCACUAUGAGAGAUGGAUGAAUGUUUUGUUUGACAAAACAUUGUUCUUUAUUAAUGAAUGAUUACAUUAUUGUAAUCUAAUUGAUUAUCUCUAUAGUAGAGAUGAUAUGGUAGUGUUAACUGUUUAGAAUAUAACGAUGCUUAAAACCCGAAAGGUUGCAAGGUAGUGACUAAUCCCAACUGAGUUGUGAUACCUCUAAAACAUAAAUUACGAGUUGGUCAUAGAUGGAUGCUUUGGAUCGUUAGAUCCGGAUCCAAUGCCUUCUUGUUAAAAUUGUAUAGAGGCAAAAUGUUUGAAUCUUUAUUCUUUUGGAAAGGAAGAAAGAAUCACAAAGUUGUUGAGGUUAAUUCACUUAGAUGUUGGUGGCACUUGUCCACAACAUAAUACUACUCAUGUUGUAUGACAUUCACCGAAGAUCGCUCUCGGUUGGACUAUCAUUUAUUUUGAAUAAACACAAGUCCGAAUACUUUGCAAAAGGUUUCAAAGAAUUCAAGAAAUGUAAGUAGAUGAGUAAGAUGUCUAAAGUAUUUACCUCCUUAGAUUUGAUCCAAGGAAAGAUAACACUUUAGAACAGUUUCCUUGAAAUAUAUCAAGGAAAGAAGCAUCAUAUGAUAAUGGAUUUCUCAAUUAAGAGAAGAAUGAACUCGAAUAAGAUUUAGUUCGUUGGAUGUUAUCAAUUACCCAUAUAUAUAGGAUAUAUACUUCUAAGGCAAUAUGAUUGUCAAUUAGAAUAUCUUCCAAAAAAAAUUUUCAUGACUCCAUAGGAUGUAGUUGGAAAGAAAGACAAAUCUUAAUCAUGUUAAGAUUUGUGAUUGUGUGCUAAUAAACAAUAUUUGUUUGAGAAUUAUCUUGUGGAUAUCCUUAAAUUAACCUUUGGAUAUCACUUCUAUAAACCAACUAACAAAUGUUGUUUUGUUGGGUAGUUCAUUGUAAUCCUACAAUAUGAUUUGCCUAAGCGCAAAUGAACGAGAGAUAGAACUCAAAGAAUGGGUUCUUUGAGAGACAAGAUGAUAAUCAACAAAUAUAACAACCUAGUUCCUACACCACAAGCUCCAAGGUAGUCGAGAAGGAUUUAUAAACUGUCUCAAUUGAAUGGUUUAAACUUUAUGACUAUGUCAUAGAGUUACACCUCUUAAUUCGAAAGAAAUAAGAAUGAAAAUCCUUAUGACUACAUUGAGUGUAUAUACGACAUAUACUCAAGGAAAUGGUAAAAUACCAUUUGACCUGAAAUAAUGAAACCUUUCUAGCUAAUUGGUAGCUUAAGGUGAUGAUGCGAAAUAUAUAAGCACACAAAUUAAACCCUCUUUUUAUCAAUUGUAGCAA
rnacentral:lncRNA from 1 species